UACGAAUGGAGCGAGCGUUGUUCGGAAUCACUGGGCGUAAAGGGUGCGCAGGCGGUCAUGAAAGUCAGAAGUGAAAGCCCAGGGCUUAACCCUGGAAUUGCUUUUGAAACUCCAUGACUAGAGUAUUGGAGAGGUUGGCGGAAUUCCGAGUGUAGAGGUGAAAUUCGCAGAUAUUCGGAGGAACACCAAUGGCGUAGGCAGCCAACUGGACAAUUACUGACGCUCAUGCACGAGAGCGUGGGGAUCAAACAGGAUUAGAUACCCUGGUAGUCCACGCCCUAAACGAUGUGUGCUAGUUGUCGGGCCCUUUAGGGUUCGGUGACGCAGCUAACGCUUUAAGCACACCGCCUGGGGAGUACGGUCGCAAGAUUAAA
rnacentral:rRNA from 1 species